rnacentral:rRNA from 1 species
AUUGAACGCUGGCGGCAGGCCUAACACAUGCAAGUCGAGCGGAUGAAGGGAGCUUGCUCCUGGAUUCAGCGGCGGACGGGUGAGUAAUGCCUAGGAAUCUGCCUGGUAGUGGGGGAUAACGUCCGGAAACGGGCGCUAAUACCGCAUACGUCCUGAUGGAGAAAGUGGGGGAUCUUCGGACCUCACGCUAUCAGAUGAGCCUAGGUCGGAUUCGCUAGUUGGUGGGGUAAAGGCCUACCAAGGCGACGAUCCGUAACUGGUCUGAGAGGAUGAUCAGUCACACUGGAACUGAGACACGGUCCAGACUCAUACGGGAGGCAGCAGUGGGGAAUAUUGGACAAUGGGCGAAAGCCUGAUCCAGCCAUGCCGCGUGUGUGAAGAAGGUCUUCGGAUUGUAAAGCACUUUAAGUUGGGAGGAAGGGCAGUAAGUUAAUACCUUGCUGUUUUGAAGUGACCAACAGAAUAAGCACCGGCUAACUUAGUG